rfam:Pantoea sp. PSNIH2 plasmid pPSP-75c, complete sequence.
CGGUGCUGGAGGCUUUUGCCCCAGCCAGCAGAAUCACUGUUUGACUGUGGUAAAAAGCAGAAAGCCCCGAGUAAUUUUUUCAAAUUAACCCGAGGCCCCUGAUGCUAGUCACAUUAAAGGUUAGCCUCUUACCUGCAAAAAUGCAAGGAGAAGAAGCCAUG